rnacentral:rRNA from 13 species
CUUGGCGACCAUAGCGGAAUGGAACCACCUGAUCCCAUCUCGAACUCAGAAGUGAAACGUUCCAGCGCCAAUGGUAGUGUGGGGUUUCCCCAUGCGAGAGUAGGUCAUCGCCAAGC